CCUUCAUCUUGUGUAUGACAGUAAACUUCAGGUUGCUGAGAUGUUUUGCUACAUUGAUCAUCAUUCCUGAGAUGUCCUCUGGAUCUGACGUUCUACACUGAACUCUGGAAGAACAUUCAGGAGUCUGAGAUUCUGCUGAAUGAAACAUCUUCAGCUGUCAUCUGCUUCUCUAUGACUCUGAUUGUGUGUGAAAGAGAUGAAAUCUCACUGCUCAUCUUCUCAAUCUUCUCCUUCAUCAUCUGACUCUUCUGCUCCUCUUCCUCUCUCAGUGCUGUUAUUCUGACUGAUUCUUCAUCAUGUAGAAGUUGGUGAAGUUUCUCAAACUCUUCAUGAAUCUGCUUCUCUGUGCGUUCAGCCUGAAUCUGAUACAAAACACAUUUCACACAGAAACAUAUAAUGACUGAAUCAGAUCUGGAUCAAUAAAUACAUUUACAAAAUA